rnacentral:rRNA from 1 species
UACGUAGGGAGCAAGCGUUGUUCGGAUUUACUGGGCGUAAAGGGCGCGUAGGCGGCCGAUCAAGUCAGCUGUGAAAUCUCCGAGCUUAACUCGGAACUGUCAGCUGAUACUGUUUUGCUAGAGUGCGGAAGGGGCAAUCGGAAUUCUUGGUGUAGCGGUGAAAUGCGUAGAUAUCAAGAGGAACACCUGAGGUGAAGGCGGGUCUCUGGGCAACAACUGACGCUGAGGAGCGAAAGCGUGGGGAGCGAACAGG